AAAAACAAUAAAAGCCUGCAAAGAAGAUCAACAUCUUCUUUGUUUGCAAAAAUUAUGGCAAGAUAAUAUUUUUCUACAAUUUUACAUAGUUUUCUGGAAGACAAAAUAGUCAACAUGGAUGCACAAGACUAUUUUCUUCUUCUGAUUUUUUUUUUUCCAACUGUUUUUCAUUUUUCAGUGAAAUCUUGUCAGAAAUAGCCUGUUUUAAAUGUAAUGAAUCAAACCGUUAGUGGGACUGAGGUAGACUGCUGUUUGUUUGUAUUGGUUUUACUUUCAAAUUUUCAGUAAUUUCAAAGUGAUAACUUCAGUCUUCUAAAACUAUUAAAAGGAGAAAGCUGCAGGAUACCUAAGUACAUUAUGUUUUUCUGUCUUUUACUUUACAUAUCUUAAUUUCAUUCAGAUUGGCUUUAAAGAAAGAACUUGAACAGACAUAUUUAAAUUCAGUCUUUCUUGAAAAGAUGUAUUUUGUAGAGCCCACUAUUUUAUCCAUAACUUUUUACUGAUGUGCAUGUGCAAUAUUUUAACUUUAUUAUCAAGCAUUCCCAUUUAGCACCAGGUCAGUGUGGUGCUAAUCUUUUGCUAAGGAGCUUUGUGCCAGGAAGGGUUUCUCAUGAAUAGUUACUGUGACAAUUACUUUGCAUAUUAAAUGUCAACUGCUGGAGCUGUGUGAUCAGCAACCUGAACAUAUGCUGCCUCUCUCCUAAGGAAAUUACUGCAGUUUUGGUUUGAAAGUGGGAGGAUAGAAAAUUACCUCUGACUGUAUGUUAAAAAGUGCCAGAGAUGAUUUGUGCAGACCCGAAGCAAUAACAUAUAACUUUCCGUAACCAAAUAUUCCAGAUCAAGAUCAAAAUCAGGAGAUUUGGAUCCCCAACUCAGCAUUUGGUACAUGGGUAAAUGUGCCUAGCAACUGGGAUAUAUGGUCUAAAUUCUGUCUUCUCUUCCAAGGAUAAAGAGCAACAGAAUAAUUCAAUUCAAGUGAGCACCCAGAAGUCGUCUUGCUUAUCUGAACUACAGCUGCAUCUGCAAAACUGG
rnacentral:lncRNA from 1 species